UUAAAUAUGAAAAAAAAUUAUUUCUCAAAGGAUAUUGUGUAUGUGAGCAUCACACAGCUGAAAAAGUCUGAUGCAGGAUUGUACAGCUGCACACUGGACACAAGUUUUGAACCAUGUGAUUUUCAGCUUGUCAUCACAGGAGCUUCAAACACUCCAACAUCUCAUGAACCUUUAUCAACAUCAACAUUUCUCUUAUCAGCUUCCACAACAACAACAACAACAACAACACACUUCAGUUCAGGAAGCUUCACACCUUCAUCAACCUCUCCUGAAACACCGUCAUCAGGCUCAGAUAAGCUGCUUUACAUGAUUCUGACUCUGGUUCUUAUGAUCAUCAUCUUAUCAGCAACUUUGCUGAUUUUCUACAAGAACAGGAAGGCCAUUAAACCCAAAGGCCAAGCAAGAAAUAAGAGAGGGGGCCCCACAGAGGAAGGUGGAAAUGCCUUCAAUUUCCACCACUGCCAAAGGUCCCCAACCAGAUGGAGCUGAAAACAUCGACCUCUAC